UUAAAUCCCAGCCCAAAUCGAAAAUCACUCGCCCAGGCCAAAUUACGCGCCUUCAAAUCCGGUUCUAUGCUAACCCAAACUACGCCGUGUGGGUGUUCUCAAAUCUGGGCCAUUGAUUUCCCACAAUCCAAAGGUUGAUGGCUUCUCUCAAUAAAAUAUAAAAUUGUCCGAAAAUAUUAACUAAACCUAAAAAAAAUUUCUAUCCUCAUCGUACCUUUUCCCCCUAUAACUCCGGCAUAACGCCACCCUCAUCUCUACCUUUCUCCGCCGUUUGCCGCUGGUCGAAAAUUGCCACCGCCACCAGCGAUGCUCCAAAUGCCACAACAUUUUCACCAUAGAUCACCCUUCCCCUCAUCUUUGCAAUCCCUAUAACUGUCUCCCUCGAAUCACAACAAAACUCCUCGAAUAUUCAAUCGUAGUUCUCCAGUGGAAACCCUAAAUCGUCCAAACACGUUCAAAUUCACACCAUACCUUCCCAUGACUUCCAUCAUCCCUAAUCUCUGAUUAGUUUCCAUCAAACACCAAUGGAAUUUCUCAAAAGAGAAGGCAGAAUUUAAGAAGUUCGAGUUUGAUCAGUUUUUGCCGAGUCCUGAGUUCAGUGUUUGGUUCGAGUCGCGAAAUAAAGUGUUCAUUUGUUCUUAUUUCGAGGUUCGAACCGAUAUUGACAGUCUUCAUCCCAGGCUUUAUAGGUAAUUUCUUUUGGGCUUCUUCGUCAUUUUUCUUUAAUUAAUCGAUAUUUCCAUUAGUUAGUCAAUUUAGGAUUUGAUUGCAUCACUUCUCAUUGUUCUGUGAUUAGUUGUUCAAACUAGUACUUAAUUAGGAUAUUCUGUUCUAGUCGCCUAUUUUUUCGUUUCUUUAGAUCAAAUAUUGGGUGUUGUCUGUUCUAGUCAGUUGUGUUUAAAUUGGUUUUAAUCAUUUUGGAUUAGUUAAGAGCAUUUUUUGGUAGUUUUGAUUAGUUGUUUCAUGUUAAGUGUUCGUAUACAAGUGUAGUCUGUUCUAAUAAGUUCGAUUUUGUGUUAGUCAUUGCAUUUUGAUUUGUGACCAGUUUAAUUUGAACAAAUAGAAUUUUUUUUUAUUUUGAAUGAAUAUUUGAAGUUUUGUUUGUUUAAUCUUGGUUAAUUUGAGUUAUUUGGUUAGAGCUGAAUAGGUUAGAUCAUUGUAGUAACCAUAGUUAGAUUUUAACGUAGGUAAAAGGGGGUCUGAUUGGGCAGUAAUUUUAGGGGGGUUUUAGGGGUAUUUUAGGAAUGGAAAAUGGUAGUUUUAUUAGGAAUGAUAAUGUCAAAACGAGGCUAAGGGUAGUGUAUGUAUUUUGUAGGUAGAAGAACAUCCUGGGGCCUUCUAGAAUGGUACUUUAGAGUAGAUUUCAGAAAAUAAGAGGUACUUACUUAAGUAACAAGUUAGAAAUAGGAGGGUAAUAAUGAAAAUAAAGAGGGACUAAAAGAAAAACACAAAAUCUGAAGGUGCAUUUCAUUUUUGCCUAUAAAAGGCAUUACUAUCAUCUUCACACGGAAGGUUUUGAGCUUCAAAAAAUUCCCCCAAAAGGCAUUUGCAGAUCUAAUCUUCCCACCUUGAAAUUCAACUUCCAAAACAUUCAAAAAAACAAAAAAAGGAAAAUAACAAAUAUCCAAAAACAGAAUACUAUUCCAUUGAAAAUUCUCAGUUGAUUUUGGUGUAUUUGAAUGUUGAUUCACACAUUUAAUUCCAGCUUUAGUUGCUAAAGUCCAAGUGUUCAUUUCGUUUGAGUUUAAGUCCAAUUAAGUGGGUUUCUGGUUGAGUUUUGCAUCAUUAAAGGUUCCAGGAGUGUUUUAAGUUCCAUUUCGAGUUACUUUGGAUGGUUUCAAGUUGAGAUUGGUUGUUUGAAUCUUCUUUGAGUGUUCUGUUAGCUGUUUGUUCCUCUAUGUGCAUUUCUGGGUGAAUUUGACGCUGUUUUGGGUCGGAUUUGUUAUGUUCUGCUUGCUUAAACGAUUCUGGGCUGAUUUCCUUGAUCACUGCAACUACACUUAUCGUUUGCUCCUGUUUAUCUUCAUCCUCUCCUUGUGUUGCAAUUUUACAAGUAUUUGUCUUCACAGUUGAGUGAUGUAUGUGAUUGCAAGCUGGAUAAAAUCCAAUUGGAAGACAAAAUUGCAGUGCAAGCAUUUUAUUAUUGCUUUAGGUCGUAUAUAGUUUCUUGUGUUCAUUUAAAAGGAUUCAUUUAUGUUGGACAUAUAAUAAUAGGCUUGAGACUAUUGGUUAUUUACUGAUUCAUACAAUAGGCAAUUGAAUAUGGUAAUUAAUGGUUCUCAGCUUGUUAGUUCAUGUUAUUAUAAUGUGUAGUUUAUAAUUUUAUGCUCCUUCAAUCAUUAGUGCUGAGAUAAUUUGUAUAAAAAAAUUGAUAUGUCUGCUGGCUUGAACUGAUUAGUCCAUGAACCAGCUGAAGAAUAGGAGAUUUUU
rnacentral:lncRNA from 1 species